CCUACGGGUGGCAGCAGUGAGGAAUAUUUGUCCAUGGGCGCGCGCCUGAACCCGCCAAGUCGCGUGAAGGAUGACUGCCCUACGGGUUGUAAACUUCUUUUAUAAAGGAAUAAAGUGAGGCACGUGUGCCUUUUUGUAUGUACUUUAUGAAUAAGGAUCGGCUAACUACGUGCCAGCAGACGCGGUAAUACGUAGGAUCCGAGCGUUAUCUGGAUUUAUUGGGUUUAAAGGUGUCGUAGAUGGGUUGUUAAGUCAGUUGUGAAAGUUUGCGGCUCAACCGUAAAAUUGCAAUUGAUACUGGCAGUCUUGAGUACAGUUGAGGUAGGCGGAAU
rnacentral:rRNA from 1 species